rnacentral:rRNA from 1 species
AGAGUUUGAUCAUGGCUCAGAAUCAACGCUGGCGGCGUGCCUAACACAUGCAAGUCGAGCGAGAAAGGGGGGGCAACUCCCUGAGUAAAGCGGCGCACGGGUGAGUAACACGUGGGUAAUCUGCCCUGGAGUGGGGAAUAACACCGGGAAACCGGUGCUAAUACCGCAUACGAUAGUGAGGUCUGCGGACUUUGCUAUGAAAGGAGCAAUUCGCUCUAGGAGGAGCCCGCGGCUGAUUAGCUAGUUGGUGAGGUAAUGGCUCACCAAGGCUACGAUCAGUAUCCGGUCUGAGAGGACGGUCGGACACACUGGAACUGAGACACGGUCCAGACUCCUACGGGAGGCAGCAGUGGGGAAUUUUUGGCAAUGGGGGCAACCCUGACCAAGCAACGCCGCGUGGGUGAUGAAGUCUCUUGGGACGUAAAACCCUUUCGACGGGGAAGAAACCGCAAGGUUGACGGUACCCGUAGAAGAAGCCCCGGCUAACUCCGUGCCAGCAGCCGCGGUAAUACGGGGGGGGCGAGCGUUGUUCGGAAUUACUGGGCGUAAAGGGCGCGUAGGCGGUGCUCUAAGUCGGAUGUGAAAACUCUGGGCUCAACCCAGAGCCUGCAUCCGAAACUGGAGUGCUAGAGUUCUGGAGGGGGUAGCGGAAUUCCUGGUGUAGCGGUGAAAUGCGUAGAUAUCAGGAGGAACACCGGUGGCGAAGGCGGCUACCUGGACAGAAACUGACGCUGAGGCGCGAAAGCUAGGGGAGCAAACAGGAUUAGAUACCCUAGUAGUCC